rnacentral:rRNA from 1 species
AGCGAACGCUGGCGGCAGGCCUAACACAUGCAAGUCGAACGGAUCCUUCGGGAUUAGUGGCGGACGGGUGAGUAACACGUGGGAACGUGCCUUUUGGUUCGGAACAACUCAGGGAAACUUGAGCUAAUACCGGAUGUGCCCUUCGGGGGAAAGAUUUAUCGCCAUUAGAGCGGCCCGCGUCUGAUUAGCUUGUUGGUGAGGUAAAGGCUCACCAAGGCUACGAUCAGUAGCUGGUCUGAGAGGAUGAUCAGCCACACUGGGACUGAGACACGGCCCAGACUCCUACGGGAGGCAGCAGUGGGGAAUCUUGCGCAAUGGGCGAAAGCCUGACGCAGCCAUGCCGCGUGAAUGAUGAAGGUCUUAGGAUUGUAAAAUUCUUUCACCGGGGACGAUAAUGACGGUACCCGGAGAAGAAGCUCCGGCUAACUUCGUGCCAGCAGCCGCGGUAAUAC